rnacentral:rRNA from 1 species
CCUACGGGAGGCUGCAGUGGGGAAUAUUGCACAAUGGGGGAAACCCUGAUGCAGCGACGCCGCGUGAGUGAAGAAGUAAUUCGUUACGUAAAGCUCUAUCAGCAGGGAAGCAAUACUGACCUUACGGUCAGCUGACGGUACCUGCGUAAGAAGCCCCGGCUAACUACGUGCCAGCAGCCGCGGUAAUACGGAGGGGGCAAGCGUUAUUCGGAUUUACUGGGUGUAAAGGGAGCGUAGUCGGUGCGCCAAGUCUGGAGUGAAAUGCCGGAGCUUAACUGCGGAACUGCUUUUGAAACUGGCGAAAUAGAGUGCGGGAGGGGUAAGGGGAAUGCCUAGGGUAGCGGUGAAAUGCGUAGAUAUUAGGAGGAACACCGGUGGCGAAGGCGGCUUACUGGACCGUAACUGACGUUGAGGCUCGAAAGCGUGGGGAGCGAACAGGAUUAGAUACCCUGGUAGUC